UACACGGUUUGGUCUAAUCUCUAACAAAACAUCAUUUUUAAUACAUGUUUUAUUUCUAAAAUCUUCAUUUGUCCAGUAAAUAUAGUAUAAAGUUCAGUAUUUAAUCUCUGAGAUGUAGAGAAGUAUAAAGUAGCUUAAAAAUGUAGUAUUCAAGUAAAGUACAAGUACCUCAAAAUAGUAUUUAUCAAUACACUUGAUGAGCAGCAGUUUCUCUCCUUUUGAUAUUUAUAUUUCUAACUUGUUUCAGGGGGGAGGUGAUCUCUAAGGCUGGACCAGAGGAGGCCGUUAUUUACGCUGACGUAGACCUGCAGUACUUGGCCGACAUCCGGCAGCAGAUCCCCGUCACGGCUCAGCGUCGGGACGACCUGUACGCCGUGACCUCAGUGGGGGGGGGGGGGGGGAGGAGGAAAGAGUCAGCUGAUCAUGUGACCUCCAGAGGAACGUGGUCCGUCUCGCACCGGACUCACCGAUAAGAGACGCUCUGUUGUUCUUGAAGGAUGGAGCUGAAGUCUGACGCAUCAUUUAUCAAGUAGAAACAAACGUGUGCUGGUUGGAGCUUCUCUAAUGUGACGACUUUACAGCUGCAACAAUUAAUUGAUUAGUUAACUUUUAAAUGAACUAUUGUUGAUUGAUUUAUCGGUCUGAGUGAUUUUUUUCUGAAGAACAAGAAGUCAUAAUUCUCUGAUUCCAGCUUCUUGAACUUGAAUAUUUUCUGCUUUUCUUUCCUCUGACAGUGAACUGAAUAUGUUUGAGUUGUGGACGUCGUCUUGAUCUUUAGGAAACACUGCACAUUUUAUAGAAUGUUUAUAUAAAGCAACUAAUCGAUGAGUCACCAGUGAGUAGAUCUUUCAUUCAGUUCAUAUUAUUGAAAAUCAAACAUCAGCAGAAAUAUUUUUGUGUAAAGUAAGAUUCAAAUGUAAAUUGUCAUAUUUUCUGUAUAGAUGUAAAUAAAUCCGCUGCAGCGCUG